rnacentral:rRNA from 1 species
GACGAACCGUGCGAACGUUGUUCGGAAUCACUGGGCUUAAAGGGCGCGUAGGCUGUGCAGUACGGCUCGGGUGAAAUCCCUCGGCCCAACCGAGGAACUGCCCGGGCGACGGCUGCGCUGGACUGCAUCAGGGGCGGAUGGAACUCCCGGUGGAGCGGUGAAAUGCGUAGAUAUCGGGAGGAACGCCGGUGGCGAAAGCGAUCCGCUGGGGUGCAAGUGACGCUGAGGCGCGAAAGCCAGGGGAGCAAACGGG